GGCGCUAUCGUCUAGUGGCUAGGACGACGGGCUUUCAAUCCGUCAACACGGGUUCGAUUCCCGUUAGCGCCGCCC
rnacentral:tRNA from 1 species